rnacentral:rRNA from 1 species
GAUGAACGCUGGCGGCGUGCCUAAUACAUGCAAGUCGAGCGAACGGACGAGAAGCUUGCUUCUCUGAUGUUAGCGGCGGACGGGUGUGUAACACGUGGAUAACCUACCUAUAAGACUGGGAUAACUUCGGGAAACCGGAGCUAAUACCGUAUAAUAUUUUGAACCGCAUGGUUCAAAAGUGAAAGACGGUCUUUCUGUCACUUAUAGAUGGAUCCGCGCUGCAUUAGCUAGUUGGUAAGGUAACGGCUUACCAAGGCAACGAUGCAUAGCCGACCUGAGAGGGUGAUAGGCCACACGGGAGCGGAGACACGGUCCAGACUCCUACGGGACGCAGCAGUAGGGUAUCUUCCGCAAUGGGCGAAAGCCUGACGGAGCAACGCCGCGUGAGUGAUGAAGGUCUUCGGAUCGUAAAACUCUGUUAUUAGGGAAGAACAUAUGUGUAAGGAACUGUGCACAUCUUGACGGUACCUAAUCAGAAAGCCACGGCUAACUACGUG